rnacentral:rRNA from 1 species
UUGACCUCGGAUCAGGUAGGGAUACCCGCUGAACUUAAGCAUAUCAAUAAGCGGAGGAAAAGAAACCAACCGGGAUUGCCUCAGUAACGGCGAGUGAAGCGGCAAGAGCUCAAAUUUGAAAUCUGGCCCCUCCGGGGUCCGAGUUGUAAUUUGCAGAGGAUGCUUCGGGUGCGGCCCCUGUCUAAGUGCCCUGGAACGGGCCGUCAGAGAGGGUGAGAAUCCCGUCUUGGGCAGAGUGCCCGUGCCCGUGUGAAGCUCCUUCGACGAGUCGAGUUGUUUGGGAAUGCAGCUCAAAAUGGGUGGUAAAUUUCAUCUAAAGCUAAAUACCGGCCGGAGACCGAUAGCGCACAAGUAGAGUGAUCGAAAGAUGAAAAGCACUUUGAAAAGAGAGUUAAACAGCACGUGAAAUUGUUGAAAGGGAAGCGCUUGCAACCAGACUCGGCCUCGGGGUUCAGCCAGCAUUCGUGCUGGUGUACUUCCCCGGGGCCGGGCCAGCGUCGGUUUGGGCGGCCGGUCAAAGGCCCCAGGAAUGUAUCGUCCUCCGGGACGUCUUAUAGCCUGGGGUGCAAUGCGGCCAGCCUGGACCGAGGAACGCGCU